UCUCUGGCCCAACUGCAGCGAAGCAGGCGCAUCCUUGGCUGUCCGCGCCUGGCGUGGGGUCGGGGGGAGAGCUGAAGAGCUGGGCGCCCUUCCUUCUCGCAUUGUCCUGUGUCUUGCGCACCUUGACCCAGAGGCCUAGACAAUAAAGGCAGGAUCAUAAUUAGUAAUAUCAGAUGAACCACAAACACUGGAACCAGAUCUUUCCAUCACAAGAAAUUGCUUCAGAGCUUUCCAAUCUAUGCCUUGAGAGGGACAGACCCACCACAGCAACUCAGAAGCGCUAGAAAGUGGACAUUGGUCAAAUAUCCAACAAUUGGACUGAUUUUUGUGUGUAGCAAAGGAAUGUGCCCAUUGCAGAGAAACAUUGUCAUCAGAGGCCCAUUCGGAUGUAGACUGGAAAAAUAAACAUAGUAUUAGGAAAAUCUUAAGUGACAUUUUUUUUUGGUAAUUAACAAUAGUUUUUGUAAUUAGGUUCCAAU
rnacentral:lncRNA from 1 species